rnacentral:rRNA from 1 species
CGCAAGCGCCAGAGGGUGAGUCUGCGGCCUAUCAGGUAGUAGGUGGUGUGACGGACCACCUAGCCUAAGACGGGUACGGGCCUUGAGGGAGGGAGCCCGGAGAUGGGUUCUGAGACACGAACCCAGGCCCUACGGGGCGCAGCAGGCGCGAAACCUUCGCACUGCGCGAAAGCGCGGCGAGGGGAGCCCGAGUGCCUCUCCAUUUCGGGGAGGCUUUUCUCAAGCCUAAAAAGCUUGUGGAAUAAGGGCUGGGCAAGACGGGUGCCAGCCGCCGCGGUAAUACCCGCAGCUCGAGUGGUGGUCGCUUUUAUUGAGCCUAAAACGUUCGUAGUCGGCCUUGUAAAUCCCUGGGUAAAUCGGACCGCUUAACGGUUCGAAUUCCGGGGAGACUGCAAGGCUAGGGACCGGGCGAGGUCAGAGGUACUUUCGGGGUAGGAGUGAAAUCCUGUAAUCCCGAAGGGACCACCUGUGGCGAAAGCGUCUGACUUGAACGGCUCCGACGAUGAGGAACGAAGGCUAGGGGAGCAAACCGGAUUAGAUACCCGGGUAGUCCUAGCUGUAAACUCUAAACGCUUGGUGUGGCCUGUCCUUCGGGGGCAGGCUGUGCCGGAGCGAAGGUGUUAAGCGGGCUGCUUGGGGAAUACGGCCGCAAGGUUGAAACUUAAAGGAAUUGGCGGGGGAAACACCGCAACGGGAGGAUGCGUGCGGUUU